UCGAGUUGUAAAACUCCCUAAACCAUUGUGAACUUUACCUGUAACCGUCGCUUCGGCGGGCGGCAUCUCGCCCUAACUGCUCCUCCGGGGGCAUCCCGCCGAAGUUUAUUAAAAUUCGUAUCAUUUUGGCCUCUCCGAGUAAACUUUCAAAUAAGUUA
rnacentral:misc_RNA from 1 species